rnacentral:lncRNA from 1 species
UUUUUUUUUUUUUUUUGGCUUUGUUCACGGAAACUAAGGUUUUUGUUUUCUGAUGUUCAUAAUACUAUAUUCUCUCAAUAGGUUGCUUCUCAUGGCCUUGAUCGGAGUUCAAAGGUUCUUGGUCAAACUACCAUUGAUACCUUCUUCGCGGUUUAGUUUGGUUUCAUGUUUAAGGUGGUGGGUGAGAGCAUUUUUAUCCUUGUGUACGUUUCAUAUUAACGACCAUAAGGUAUCAACAUUUUAGUACCUUGUCUCGUUAAAAUGGUCUAGGACUGUCUUCAUGUCUCAACCGAUUUUGUUCAUUUUAUUUUUUUCCUGGCAGGUGUUAGAUAUGGCUGAUUUUGCUGUUCUCUUGUUUCAUAUUCUGUUGUUAGACUCUUAAAUCGAAGAACCCCUGGCAUGUAGAGUCCAAUGCCUUGACCGACAAGUCUUCAAUUGAACAUAUUCAGGCUUUAGAUCACCAUGUUGAUCGGGAACCGGUUUCAAAGAAGACAACACUAUGAGAAAACAGUUUGGUUUCUUCUAUAACUUUCCAUGUGUUUUCUUUUCAUCUCUGAUAAGUAGAGCCAUAAAUUCUAAUGUAAAGCAGUUGAAAUCUUUCUCAAGUUAAAGGGCACAUAUAUAUAUAACAUAUUGUAAAUAGUUCAACAUUUUCACUUGACAGCAGCUCUCAUCUUGUGCUUAUAAAUUCGCUUUGGUCUCACUUCCAUGAAUGUCUAAGCUUUUUCUGUUCAACAUGAUCCACUCUGUUUAGUAAGUUCAAUGUAAAAAAUUGUGUAUUUCCAACCAUAUAUGAUCAUAUAUGAUAUUUUUUUAAUUAUUUAAUAACAUUUUAAUAAAUUUUUUUAUUAAUGCAUAUUUUUAAUAAUCUUUUUAAACCCGAAUCCAAAAUUAUGUCUACAAGAGGUUUAGUGUAAAAAAUUAUGUAUUAAUAAUAUAAAAAAAUUAUUAUAAUAUUAUUAAAUAAUUAAAAACAAAUCAUAAAUAAUAUGAUGAAAAAAUCCAUAAAAUAAAUUUUCGUAUAAUUUGAAUGGACCAUAAAUUCACUAUUUUUCAAUCAUUAAACCACGAAAAAGAAGUCUUUUUUGGGUUCUGAUUUUCCCAUCCAAAAUCACACAAAUCAAUGUCCUUGUCAACCACAUUCACUAAAACUUUUGUAGGGACCUUUUGGAUUUUUACAUCCAAAAAUCCCAUCACCUUCUCCAUUUUCAUAAAGUUAGCUUAUUUGUGUCAAUAAUAUAUUUAAUCUUUACUCUUUGUAUUUUAAUUCAAGAACUCUUAAUUUAAAUAUUUUGAAUUAAUUAAUUUUUAUUUGAGAUAAAUUUAUAAUGUUAUAUAUGAAUUAUAAUUUUAUAUGAUUUAAUACAUAAAAUUUUAAUUUAAUUUAAUUUUUAUAAAUAUAAAUAUAAUAAUUUAUAUUUAUAUAAAUUUUUAAGAUACCAUUACAUAUUGAUGUUUAAUUUUAAGAUCUAUUCAAUUUCAAUUAUGUGACAAAAUUGUAAAUUUAAUCCCAAAUUCCUUGAAAUUAAUAAUUAUAAUAUUUAAAAAGUAACUUAAUAAAUUUAAAUACACUAAAAAUAUAACCAAAUGGCAUUGAAAGAUUACAAGAAGAAGAUAUAUUGUAAGCAAAAGGCAAAUAGAGCUUUCCUUCAUUCAUUCAUCAGUUAUAUAACAUGGCAGUAACACAACAAAGCUAGUUAAAAUAAUUUCAUUUCACUAUAUACACACACACAUACACAAACCAAGCAACCAUGGAUACAAGAAGCAAAACACCUAAUGAACCAUAGCUGCUUUAUUCUAAUAGUAAAAACCCAAAUACAUCAUAUAUUAUUUAGAUCAGCUUCCAUAUUAUGCUUAGCUUUUUUUUCUCAUUUACAAUUGCAAGGGUUGCAAGUGCAGUUAUCUCCACAUUUGCAGCCAUUUUCAGCCCCAGUUUCCAUUUCAGCUCCAUCAAAGUGCCUGCAAGCAUAUUAGUAAACAUAGUUCAGAACCUUAAAACAUCGAAUUUCUACAAUGAAAUUAACUCUUUUAAUUAGUAUUCAAUUUAAUCCUUUUGAUACGUACACUUUCCGGGGUGCCACGCCAAGAACAAGUGUCCCGGUUGUGGUUUGCUCAGCAAAGUUCAUCUCAGGGUACAUCUUGCAACUAUUAAGAACAAAAAUGAUAAAAGAAUAAAUGAUUUUGAAGAUAACCCUUCAAUGAAAAAUGAGAAAAAAUGAAAAAUUCAUGGCCGGAGAAGGGAGGGGAUGGUUUAAUUACCCGCCGCAGCCGCUGCCGCACUUGCAACCGAAGCCGCAACCGCAGUUUCCACCACAGCAAGACAUUUUUCUUCACCUC